rnacentral:lncRNA from 1 species
UCUGUGUGAUUCUACCCCGCAGGGAAUCCACGGUCUGCUAUCCCCCAUUUGCGCCACACGGUAACCUCUAACCAGCUAAAAAAAUUACUCAUACUUGACUAAAGCCAGAGCCAUCAUAGCCCUCAUGGUUGCACUUUCAUCUCGGUUAUCACUUACGAGUAAAUCCUCAUGUUGCUAAAAAGUCAUUAUUAUCAUUUGUUGCUUUAUAUUAAUCUAGUCACAAGAUCAUGGUCAUAGAAUUAAAACCCAAAUACUAUACUUGCCUUGAUCCAAUUGCUCCUGCUGGUCCUGCUGACCUUACUUGCUUCCAAGGCUCUGAUCUUGAUCACCGAAGUAACGCCCACCGUCUAAUCUCGAUCAUCGAUCAUCAACACACAAACAAUCGAAGACAGACAUACACGAAGCAAACAAGAUUACAAUUAGAACAAUACACUAGCAGAUCAAAAAAACAAAAUAAAAUGUUUAAAAACAGAACCUAAGUUUUUCUACGAUCACAUAGAUACAAAGAUCACG